rnacentral:rRNA from 1 species
UACGUAGGGCGCGAGCGUUGUCCGGAAUUAUUGGGCGUAAAGAGCUCGUAGGCGGCUUGUCACGUCGGUUGUGAAAGCCCGGGGCUUAACCCCGGGUCUGCAGUCGAUACGGGCAGGCUAGAGUUCGGUAGGGGAGAUCGGAAUUCCUGGUGUAGCGGUGAAAUGCGCAGAUAUCAGGAGGAACACCGGUGGCGAAGGCGGAUCUCUGGGCCGAUACUGUCGCUGAGGAGCGAAAGCGUGGGGAGCGAACAGG